CUUGGCACUGGAAGAAUUCACAGAGUAUUUGAAACCAUCGUGGAUUCCCUGGUGCCAUAGA
rnacentral:pre_miRNA from 1 species